rnacentral:lncRNA from 1 species
UAGAAAUAUUAUCCACUGCCUUAGGACCAUAAAGUUAAACAAUAAUUCCCUGUUGUGUUUCUUUGUUUGUUUUUACCAACUCCUCCCCUCCCCUACCUCCAGGAAAAGGCUGUUCAUGCUGGGUGAGCUCUAAGUCAUGUCAGUAUAGAUAGCUUUGCAAGUGGGGUCUUCCAUGAAAUUACCAGGUUCAUUGGUAUAUGUGCAGACUUUUUCUAUAGGUAAAUUGCUUGCUGUGGGAGUUUGGUGUACAGACUUUCAUCACCCAGGAUUAUUUUCAGGAUUGAAAUGAAAAAGCCAAAAUUGACAAAUGGGAUCGAAUUAAACUAAAGAGCUUCUGCAUAGCAAAAGA